CAGCAGCCGCGGUAAAACGUAGGGUGCGAGCGUUGUCCGGAAUUACUGGGCGUAAAGAGCUCGUAGGCGGUUUGUCGCGUCGUCUGUGAAAUUCUGCAGCUUAACUGUAGGCGUGCAGGCGAUACGGGCAGACUUGAGUACUACAGGGGAGACUGGAAUUCCUGGUGUAGCGGUGAAAUGCGCAGAUAUCAGGAGGAACACCGGUGGCGAAGGCGGGUCUCUGGGUAGUAACUGACGCUGAGGAGCGAAAGCGUGGGUAGCGAACAGGAUUAGAUACCCGAGUAGUCCCUGUCUCUUAUAC
rnacentral:rRNA from 1 species